rnacentral:rRNA from 1 species
AAUAGAUACCCUGGUAGUCCAUGCCGUAAACGUUGGGCACUAGGUGUGGGGGGACAUUCCACGUUUUCCGCGCCGUAGCUAACGCAUUAAGUGCCCCGCCUGGGGAGUACGGCCGCAAGGCUAAAACUCAAAGGAAUUGACGGGGGCCCGCACAAGCGGCGGAGCAUGCGGAUUAAUUCGAUGCAACGCGAAGAACCUUACCAAGGCUUGACAUGUGCCAGACCGCCUCAGAGAUGGGGUUUCCCUUCGGGGCUGGUUCACAGGUGGUGCAUGGUUGUCGUCAGCUCGUGUCGUGAGAUGUUGGGUUAAGUCCCGCAACGAGCGCAACCCUCGUUCCAUGUUGCCAGCACGUAGUGGUGGGGACUCAUGGGAGACUGCCGGGGUCAACUCGGAGGAAGGUGGGGAUGACGUCAAAUCAUCAUGCCCCUUAUGUCUUGGGCUUCACGCAUGCUACAAUGGCCGGUACAAUGGGUUGCGAUACUGUGAGGUGGAGCUAAUCCCGUAAAAGCCGGUCUCAGUUCGGAUUGGGGUCUGCAAGUCCCG